CACGUAGGGGGCAAGCGUUGUCCGGAUUUAUUGGGCGUAAAGAGCUCGUAGGCGGCUCAGUAAGUCAGGUGUGAAACCUCCAGGCUCAACCUGGAGACGCCACCUGAUACUGCUGUGGCUAGAGUCCGGUAGGGGAGCGUGGAAUUCCUAGUGUAGAGGUGAAAUUCGUAGAUAUUAGGAAGAACACCGUGGCGAAGGCGGCCCACUGGUCCGGUACUGACGCUGAGGUGCGAAAGCGUGGGGAGCAAACAGG
rnacentral:rRNA from 1 species